AGAGAGAGACAUGCGCGCAUAUCAAUAAGCGGAGGAAAAGAAACUAACAAGGAUUCCCCUAGUAACGGCGAGUGAAGCGGGAAGAGCUCAAAUUUGAAAUCUUAAAGGGUUUCCCUUUACGAAUUGUAGUUUAAAGAAGUGUUUUCUGUUGAGGUUUUGGUAAAAGUUCUUUGGAAUAGGACAUCAUAGAGGGUGAGAAUCCCGUAUUUGACCUUUACUUUCAACUUUGUGAUACACUUUCAAAGAGUCGGAUUGUUUGGGAAUGCAGUCCCAAAAUGGGUGGUAAAUUUCAUCUAAAGCUAAAUAUUGGCGAGAGACCGAUAGCGAACAAGUACCGUGAGGGAAAGAUGAAAAGAACUUUGAAAAGAGAGUUAAACAGUACGUGAAAUUGUCAAAAGGGAAGCGUUUGACACCAGUGUUGUUUUUCUGAAAAUCAAUUAAAGAACUGUUUAUGCUAAGUUGUUUAGACUUUAUCAGCUAACUGUUUAGUUUUGAGCUUUUCUUUAAUGCACUUUUCAGUUAACAAGUCAACAUCAAUUUCUUUUGCUGUAAAAAAGCUUGAGGAAGGUGGCUUGAGAUUCGUCUUAAGUGUUUAUAGCCUCUUGCCUAUGCAGUCGGAGAGAUUGAGGUCUGCAGCGUAGAUCCUUCGGGGCUAAAUGCAUUUGUGCUAAGUUAUAACAUUUUAUAGACAACUUGUUGACUAUGAUUUGUCUUGUAGCUUACUCGCUUAUGUUAUUUUACCUACGCUUAGGAUGUUGACGCAUGAGAUAUACGC
rnacentral:rRNA from 1 species